rnacentral:rRNA from 1 species
AUUGAACGCUGGCGGCGUGCCUAAUACAUGCAAGUAGGACGCAGUUGCGAACGGGCGAGUGAAGCGUAGGUAAAUGCCUAUUAGAGGGGGAGAACUAUUGGAAACGAUAGCUAAUACCGCAUACUAGUAGAUGGACCUGCGUUGUAUUAGCUAGUAGGUAGGGUAAUGGCCUACCUAGGAAGAGAUACAUAGCCGACCUGGGAGGGGGAUCGGGCACAAUGGGACUGAGACACGGCCCAGACUCCUACGGGAGGCAGCAGGAGGGAAUCUUCGGCAAUGGGGGGAACCCUGACCAAGCAACGCCGCGUGAGUGAAGAAGGGUUUCGGAUCGUAAAGCUCUGUUGUUAAGGAAGCGGUACUUAACCAGAAAGGGACGGCUAACUACGUGCCAGCCGCCGCGGUAAUAC